UACAGAGGGGGCAAGCGUUGUUCGGAAUUACUGGGCGUAAAGGGCGCGUAGGCGGCCUUCUAAGUCGAACGUGAAAUCCCUGGGCUCAACCCAGGAACUGCGUCCGAUACUGGGAGGCUUGAAUCCGGGAGAGGGAUGCGGAAUUCCAGGUGUAGCGGUGAAAUGCGUAGAUAUCGUAAGGAAGACCAGUGGCGAAGGCGGGUCUCUGGACAGUUCCUGACGCUGAGGCACGAAAGCUAGGGGAGCAAACAGG
rnacentral:rRNA from 1 species